rnacentral:sRNA from 1 species
GUGUUGUGCUUGUUGCGGACAAAUCCAGUGAAUAUGCGUAUCAAUACCGCCAGCGGUCGCAAUUAAAUGUGCGCCGUUAUGUACUUCGGUGCUUGCGCCGAUAAUCAUAUUUGGCGUGACGUUAUCCAUCGUAUCCGGAUUACCCGCCUGACCGAUACCGACAAUGCGUCCGUCACGAAUCCCGAUAUCCGCUUUGAUAAUGCCUAAUUUUGCGUCGAUAAUCAUCACGUUAGUGAGAGCAAAAUCCAAUACGUUCGGAUUAUCACGGGUAGAGGUGCUUGAUUGUGCCAUACCGUCACGCAC